rnacentral:lncRNA from 1 species
UGUUUUGUUCUUUGUAUCUCUUACUGCUUGGUAAGCAGGACACUCUGUUGUUUAAACUGUUGGGUACACUCGCACUUUGUGUCCUGAUGGUGUUUGCAACGUUGAAUCUUGGUUUUCUUGCAUGUGUGUGCAUGUGUGUGGUAUACACACGCUAUAUAUUUACAUGGAUGCAAAGACCUAAUGAUGUUGAGUGUCUUCUUUAGUCACUCUUGACUGAAGUAGUAUCUCUUGAUGAUCUGAGGGAUUUAACCAGUUAUGGCUCGGCUAGCUCACUCUGAGCAGCUGCCGUACCUGCCUGACUUUACCUACCUCCUGAGGAUCUAAAGGCUGGCAUCUGCACUGUGUGGCAAGCACACUACUCCCCAACCCACCUGGCCAGUGCUGCUGUCCUGAUUGUGAGCCUCGCCUUCAAUGGCCGACCUGGCUCCAGCCCUUUUGCUUUUUUUUUAAAUUAUUUUUUAAAGAUUUAUUUAUUUUAUGAUGUGAGUCCACAGUAGUUGUACAGAUGGUUGUGUGUGUAUAGCCUUCAUGUGGUUGUUGGGAAUUGAAUUUUUAGGACCUCUGCUUGCUCUGGUUGACUCCACUCGCUCAGUCCUUGCUCGUCCUGGCCCAAAGAUUUAUUAUUACACAUAAGUACAUUGUAGCUGACUUCAGGUGCACCAGAAGAGGGUGCCAGAUCUCAUUACAGGUGGUUGUCAGCCACCAUGUGGUUGCUGGGAUUUGAACUCAGGACCUUUGGAAGAGAAGUCAAUGCUCUUGCCCACUGAGGCAUCUCUCCAGCCCCUUUUGCUUUUUUGAGACAGGGCUGCUUUAUGGCCGUAUGUGGCUCAGGGGUGGCUUCAGACGCCCAUUAAUAUUCCUUCCUCAGCUUCCUCAUAACAGGCAUGUGCGAACGGGCAUACUGAGACCUUUCCUACUGCUUAGAAAACUAUGAAAGCUUACUUAACAUUUCUUAUUGAUUAGAAAAACAAAAGCUGUGUUAAGUUAGGAUCUGAGUUCUUUUCUUGUAUAUAUUCCAUACUGUGUUACAUGUGGACUAGUUUUUUUUUGUUUUUUCCUACCUAAUGGGUACAAGCUUUAUCUCUUGUUUUGUCAGGGAAAUAGAUGUCUACUCUGAUGACAAGCCAUAGCACAAAGGUGUCACCAAUCCAACUUAGGGAACCGGAAUUUAUUUGGCUUGCUUAUAGAGCAUAGCUGUAGAGGGUUUGUUUAGUUUUUGUUUUACCAGAUAGUGGAUGGCUCCUAAUAAUACUUGUAGCACCAGAAAGUCUCUUCCCAGCAUAGAUGACAACUUUCUCCUAGCUCCACGUGUGUGAUCCCACCUUCAGUUAACCUUCCACAAGGUUGGGUGCAGUCAAGACAGAAUUACAUGUAAAUGGCUCAGAAGGGAGGGAGCUAGCAGAGGAAGUCUCAACUAAGGGGCUCAUGACCGUCCUCCUCCUGCUUCUGGGAGGGAUAUGGACAGGCGACAAGGUUGAUGCUGAUUGUCUGAUGCAGGCAGUCACAGUACUCUGAGGAGCAGGAAGGCACCCAGCUUAGAGGACAGCUUUAGGACAGCAGGUGUCCUGCUUCUCUCACUCUCCACCCUAUCCCCUGAGUCAGGAUCCUUCGCUGAACUAGCUAAAGUGGUUGGCUGGCAAGCUAAGUGAUCCUCCUGUUCCCUGCCUCUGCCCCUGCCCCUGCCCCUGCCCAGCACUGCAGUUAUCUUCCCGCACAUUGCUUUUUUCCAUGGAUACUGGUGAUCAGAGUUAAGAUUCUUAUCUUUGUAUAUGUAUACACAGCUUUAUAUGUUAUGUAUGUGCACACAUAUAUGUGCACUCACGAACACACACAGAUACGCACAUAUUUUAUGAUGCAGACUGUGUCCUUACAACGGACUCAAGUUUGAUAUCUGUGUGUUUGUGUUAGAGUUGGGGUUGAACUGGUAAGAAGUGCUCAGAACAAUGUCUGGCACGUGGUUUUUUUUUUCCCUGUCAAAAAUCACUGUUAUUUUGGAAGUUUAAAGAAAAUUAUUUGAAAUUAAUAAAUAAAAUAACUACAGUUAAAGUUUUAAUGCUAAUAAGCAGUGUGCCUCCCCGGCUUUUGGGAGGCAGAGAGAAGCAAGAGCUCAUUGGCCAUGAGUUCGAAGCCAGCCUGGGUUACAUAAGACUGUGU